rnacentral:rRNA from 1 species
CUUGGUCAUUUAGAGGAAGUAAAAGUCGUAACAAGGUCUCCGUUGGUGAACCAGCGGAGGGAUCAUUACUGAGUUUACGCUCUACAACCCUUUGUGAACAUACCUAUAACUGUUGCUUCGGCGGGUAGGGUCUCCGUGACCCUCCCGGCCUCCCGCCCCCGGGCGGGUCGGCGCCCGCCGGAGGAUAACCAAACUCUGAUUUAACGACGUUUCUUCUGAGUGGUACAAGCAAAUAAUCAAAACUUUUAACAACGGAUCUCUUGGUUCUGGCAUCGAUGAAGAACGCAGCGAAAUGCGAUAAGUAAUGUGAAUUGCAGAAUUCAGUGAAUCAUCGAAUCUUUGAACGCACAUUGCGCCCGCCAGCAUUCUGGCGGGCAUGCCUGUUCGAGCGUCAUUUCAACCCUCAAGCUCUGCUUGGUGCUGGGGCCCUACAGCUGAUGUAGGCCCUCAAAGGUAGUGGCGGACCCUCCCGGAGCCUCCUUUGCGUAGUAACUUUACGUCUCGCACUGGGAUCCGGAGGGACUCUUGCCGUAAAACCCCCAAUUUUCCAAAGGUUGACCUCGGAUCAGGUAGGAAUACCCGCUGAACUUAAGCAUAUCAAUAAGCGGAGGA